GGACAAGAGAUACAAGAAUCGGGAGUUGCAGUUGAUGAGGUCGAUGGACCAUCCAAAUGUAAUAUCGUUGAAGCAUUGUUUCUUCUCUACCACCAGCAAGGAUGAGCUCUUUCUCAAUUUGGUCAUGGAGUAUGUCCCGGAGACCUUGUAUCGUGUUCUGAAGCAUUACAGUAAUGUUAACCAGAGAAUGCCACUGAUCUAUGUGAAGCUUUAUACAUACCAGAUAUUUAGAGG
rnacentral:misc_RNA from 1 species